GAGAACAGAACAGGAUGAGGGAGGGCU
rnacentral:piRNA from 1 species